UGCGAAUGGCUCAUUAAAUCAGUUAUAGUUUAUUUGAUGGUUCCUUACUACUUGGAUAACCGUAGUAAUUCUAGAGCUAAUACAUGCAGAAAAUUCCGACUUCUGGAAGGGAUGUAUUUAUUAGAUCCAAAACCAGCGCAGGUCUCCCUCGGGAGCCUGGUUGCUCGGUGAUUCAUGAUAACUGCUCGAACCGUAUGGCCCUCGUGCCGACGGUGCUUCAUUCAAAUUUCUGCCCUAUCAACUUUCGAUGGUACGGUAGUGGCCUACCAUGGUUGCAACGGGUGACGGAGAAUUAGGGUUCGGUUCCGGAGAGGGAGCCUGAGAAACGGCUACCACAUCCAAGGAAGGCAGCAGGCGCGCAAAUUACCCAAUCCCGACUCGGGGAGGUAGUGACAAUAAAUAACAAUGCCGGGCUAUAUUAGUCUGGCAAUUGGAAUGAGCACAAUCUAAAUCCCUUAACGAGGAACAAUUGGAGGGCAAGUCUGGUGCCAGCAGCCGCGGUAAUUCCAGCUCCAAUAGCGUAUAUUAAAGUUGUUGCAGUUAAAAAGCUCGUAGUUGGAUUUCGGGGCAGCCUGGCUGGUCCGUCGCGAGACGAGUACUGGUCAGCCGCCCUUCCUCUCGAAAGCCCCGACUGCUCUUUACUGCAGUGGUCGGGUAGUUCGGGACGUUUACUUUGAAAAAAUUAGAGUGUUCAAGGCAGGCUUACGCCUGAAUACAUUAGCAUGGAAUAAUGGAAGAGGACCUCGGUCCUAUUUUGUUGGUUUCUGGGGCCGAAGUAAUGAUUAAGAGGGACAGUUGGGGGCAUUCGUAUUUAAUUGUCAGAGGUGAAAUUCUCGGAUUUAUGAAAGACGAACAACUGCGAAAGCAUUUGCCAAGGAUGUUUUCAUUAAUCAAGAACGAAAGUUAGGGGUUCGAAGACGAUCAGAUACCGUCGUAGUCCUAACCAUAAACUAUGCCGACUAGGGAUCGGUGGAUGUUAGCGUUUGACUCCAUCGGCACC
rnacentral:rRNA from 1 species